UUUUUCUGUCCACUGUAUUUUUUGUAAGGUCUGGAUGGUAUAGAAGUUCUGUCACACAGAAAUAAACGCAAUGGUCGGCUCUUCCGCAACAAGGAAGCUCAGCGAAAUACAGCUUUAUGAAAUGUAAUUUGCAAACUCAAAUGCUCUGGCCGAGAAUCGCUGCGAUUAGUGUCCCGUUCCAGAUUUGGGGAUGAUGAUGAAUCUCUCAGAGCCGCUUCCUCGCCUUCCGGAAAAGCCCCUCGAGCGGAGCAGCGGCUGCAGUACCUCAUUGGAUCCGGAUGGCGGCGCUGUUGCGCACGGACGGCGGUGGGGCGGGCGCAUGCAAAUCUACCGCAGCGAUCAGCCAAUCGGCUGCCACCGGGCUUGGAGCGGGGGCAGCUGGGAGCCACAGCGAUCCGUUCCCGAGGUUCGCUCGGGAGCGCGUACGGGGAAAGAAGUAAGAAAGAGCGGAGAGUCGACGAGGGAAGAGCGUCGAGAGCUGCUGGUCUGAUACCGCUUCUCGCUCUGACCGCAGAGAUGGCUCGAGAUGCCAAGGUGGAACAGGUCCUCCCGGCUCUGCUACACGUCCGCCUGUAUUCCCGGAAGUACCGUCUAAUUGUCGUGAACUCCUACGCCGCCGCUCCGCUAUUAUCUAUGGUCUUCAGUCCUCCAGAAAGUAAGACGCAUGCGCCCGGCAACACGGAAGUAGCGUCUUUCUGCAGGAACAGCUGUACGCCAGCAGUUCACUGGUCCCUAUUGUAGCAGGCCCUCCUGACUGUACUACGCAUGCGCACGGCAAAGUGGCCGUAGUGCCGUUUCGGUACGUGUAGUGCCGCAUCGCAGUGAGCGGGGGGCAGCAGAGAGCCGCUGCGCAUGCGGGGUGCGUGACCUUUAGGAGGGGUUUAGCACGCGUGCGCGAUUCACAUGGAGGACCGAUGACCAUAGAGCCUGCUGGAACCCGGAGCCUAGCGCGGCUUGCAGGAAGUCGCUUUGUUUACUUCCUGCUGCGUUGGGUCGCGGGUACGUGGCGGCGCGGCGAUCUCCGUGUGGAUUGUGACGUCCAUCAGCAGCACGGGCCCCGGACGCCAGCGAUGCCCCGUUCGCGCCCAGUUUAACCCUUCGAGCUCUGCCUCGCGCUCUUUUUCUCAGGGUGGUGCUGCAGCCGAGGCCCUUUGAGCGACAGUUGCACUGCAGCACCCCUGCUACCCACAACAGCCUUCCAGUUAACCCCUCACUGUAUUCUUGAAACGCUUCUUAGUGAAGCCAUAUUUCUCUUGAUGGGAAAGAUGAGCCUGCUGUUACUGACUGUGAUUACAAACAUAGUGUGUACCUGCAUCCCUUCUAGUGAGGACUAUAAGCAGUUACCACAAUAGGUCAGUGAGAAUAUCUGUGUUUCAGGUUGCCUGGAACAGCGCUGCAUCCCUCAGUGGUUUUUGUUCUCACAGCCAUGAACUCUGCAUGAGGAAGAGCUGACCAGCCUGCUCCGGUGGCAUAGUCGUGGGUAUGCAUUAUCCCCACUCAGACCUUCAUAUGCACAAACAAAUCUCUCCACCCUCAGCAACUUCAGUCACUCAGAGCACUUAUGUCUUCCCUCUCUCCCAAAACUUUCCUUUCUUGUCCCUACAACUCCUAAGACUCUUUUGUUCAUUCUUCUUUAAACAAUUUGACUGCAAUCAACAAUAUCGGUCAAAAAGCUGCUCUUCAAGUUGUUGGAUGUCAGGAGAUUAUCCUACAAGUGAAUCAAACUACUAAAGUCAUUGGAUGAUUCUAGUUUAAUAGCAUUUUUCCUAAGCUUUGACCAUGGUUCCCUGUUAGGUUUUGUGAUAAAAACUUUGUCUCCAUAAGCUCAAAGCAUAAAGGCAUUACAGCUGGUGGAGAAAGCCCCUUUUUAACUCAAAGUGGUAAGGCCAUGUAACAGCUUAAUCAGAUAGCUCUUUGCUGCUCAUUUUCUUCAUUGGUGUUGCUCUGCUUCUUCAAGGUAUAUCUUCAAAAGCAGUAUGCAUUGAGUAUUUUCAAAACAGGAACCAUCAUCUUAUUGCCUGCUAGUUUCCACUAAUGUCACUGCUGUUGCUGUCUGGAGAACAAUUCCUUUCACUUGCUGCCUCUUCUAACUCCUCUAUAUUUCACAUGCCAAUACACAAUCUACUGACCUGGGUGGCAUGCAAACCCUCCCCAUCAAUCACUAAUUGCAUUAAUCACCAUUGCAUUAAUCUCUAGCUUUCUUCUCCUGCAGUCACUCAGCCUACCAGUCCUGGGUGGUUAUGCCACGUUCACCAGUAUGUGACGUGAAUUUCAGCCUGCUUUCGCCAUAACCACCUUAUUGUUGGAGAUGGGGGGACGAGGCAGAAUAUCAGUGUCUGCAUGUUGCUGGCUCUGUGUGGAACAGCUGACCUGCUUACAAAAUGCAGGUCUUCAUAUCCUAACCUAGCUAUACAAAGCAACUUUUCCUCUUCUUUCAUCCACCUUCAGUUCCCACGGGCCUUCAUUAUGAAGAUUUCGAUUGAUUGCUGCUAACAUACACUUGAGUCCAAAUAUCUGUGCUAUUCAUAGCAAAGCACUCAUUCAGCCAAAUGCUUGGCUGUGUCAGCACUCCUUUGAUCAAACUGAAUAAAAGACUUAACCAGGUGUUCCUCAUAGCCCCAGGUCAUCGGAAGGAAUUCACCAGUGCAGGGAUGAUGUGCAGAAAUAAAAUCUCUCUGAAGUAUGGAGGGUAAAUGAUGUCCAGAGUUCCACCAAACAGGAGGAAAGAUUUUGCCAAAGCAGGACUUUAUCUGCCUUUAGAAGCCUUUCAAAGGUAUCCUGCUAAGUGGAAGGCAGAGAGAGGUACUUACAUGUGCCUAAGUUAGACUGUUCCUGUGCUGCAGGGAGCAAAGAGCAUGGUGCACACAGACACGUUAGUUCAUGGUGGUAUUUCUCAUACUCUUAUACGAUGUGGCAGAGAUCUUCCACCUCUUCUCAGAUUCCUUGAUAUGCCUGAGCAAUGUGUGAUCUUACAGCCAUGUUUUUGCCAGAGUAAUAAGAGGUUCUGCCCUGUGGGUGCACAUGCCUCUUGGUUCUCUUUGUGCUGUUCUGGUGCUUUGUCACACGCCCUCCUGGCUUUGCCAGCUUCCCACUACAUGCCAUUUUCCCCACUGCAAAAGUCCCCUUUCAACGCUGUGAAGCCUUUCUGCCGUGCAUGACUGAUUCCCGUACAAGUCUCAUCGGAGCAACAGGGGGCACUCUCGCACUGCAGUCUGCACGGCCGCAUUCGUUCCGCGAACGCUGCCUGGAGUCUAUCAGCACUGACAAGCAAUCAUAUGUCACCGUGUGGUUAAUUCUCCAGUUUGCAACCGACUGUCAGUGCAAAGAAUACUCCUUGAAAACGGAUAGCAAAGAUGUGCUCCUCAGCUGUAUGAGCUUCCCUACAGUUGCUUUAUGCUGUCUCCUACUCAAGGUCAGACUAGCUGAGACCCUUCCAUCCCAUCUCAUCCUUCUCUGCUGCUCUUUCUGCUUCCUCCUGCACAGCAGCACUAGUAACAGGAGGGCACAGCACAAAGAAUUUCAUCAGGGAACUUGAAAGUAACCUGUCAAAGCAGUAGGGAGCGUUGUUUUCAGUCUGUCUCAGUUCCUUCACAUACAACAUUGCUUGGUAUCACUGCCCACUCUGCUGCCUCAGGGUGCUCACUGUGGGCCACCAAGGACAGAACCAGGCUGACCCUGCUGUGCUUCCUUCUCUUAGAGGAGCACAAGCUUCCCUGGAGAACCCCGUGCCCGGCCCAUUGCUGGAAAGCUCUGCCAGCCUUCUGCCCUUCGUACACCUUUCCCUUGCUUCUCUCCUUACAUCAGCUCUGUAGACACAAGUUCUGCCUUUUUUGCUACAUACUUGCUGAGGAAAUAAAUGGUGUGUCACAUCAGUUGAUCCCUGUAGUGUUUUUCAGUUCUGAUUCUUGCUGAUCAUGCCUGUGCUUCCCUUCCUGUGCCUUCUGCCUGAGCGUAGGCACCCAUCAGAGGUUACAUGUGUGUCCUACUAUCUGUAGCCAUGCAGUUUUAUUUCGGGGCUUGCCAUUUGCAGCUAGCUCAUUUGGUGAACAGGCUCCUUAGCUAUUCUCCCUGUCUGAUACUCCCUAGACCAGAGGGAGAAGAAGCUGAGCUCUUUAGGUGACUCCUACAAUCAUGAUAUCCUACAGAAAGGCCAUGAACCUUGGAGAAAAGGCUCCCAGCCUCUGUUCCUAGCACUGUAUUUCACACAGACAUGAAAUACAGGGACUGUUUUUGGAGCAGAGAUCAAAUGCAGCUCCCAGCUGAAGGGUCCUGUCUGCCCUCUCUGACUGUUGCUGCACAAGACUGAUGCACAAGACUGAUGCUGCACAACAAUGCCAGAACCAUUCCUUACUCUUUCUCCUGGAAAGACAUAGUGUGGUGAUUUGAAAUGUGUAUACUUCCUACAGAUGAAGAGAACUGGACAGGUUAUCUUGAGCAUAUGCUUCAGUCACUGGACUAACGGAGACCCGGGAGCGAAUGCUGCUGGAUGCUAAGAAACACAAAUUGGGCAGUAUAUAUUACACUGAGAAAAAUACCUGGACUGCGGCCUUCGUGUGGCUCAGAGGAACACUUAGUAUCUGCACAAUGACUGGACUUCAACUCACUUUUUGUAAACCACCCACACCAUUGUGAGCUGACCUAGAACAGGAACUGGACUUUAUGGCAAGUUCUUACUGCAAAAUAAGCCAAUGCCAGAGAACUAAGCUCUGCUUUUGGACCUGUAACAAAUACUGCACAACAUUUGGACCCUGCUAAAUAGCAAUUUAUGAGAGAGAUCUGGUGCACCACAGAGCUGGCAAUGGACUGUGCAAAUGAGACUGUGUCCGAACUGGUUCCCCAAACUCUUUGUGGCCGCCUUCUUCAGGUUUUAUACUUCAAACCACAUUGUACACCCUAAUGCCACACUGCAGCAGGCAAUGUAUGCUGUCCAGGGAUAUAGCACUUGCUCUCUCUCAGGCACUAUGAACUGGAAAAGCACACAUGCAGAAAAACCCCAUGUGUUAUGAGAGAGCUCUCAUGCAGCCCAGCUGAAACCCAGAGUUAGAAGUCAGAUAAUGGGGAGAUAUCUAGUUCUAAGUAUUCCUGUGAGCGAACUGAAAGCCUGCAGCAGGAAUUACUUGCAUCUAUAAAAAUAUGGAUUAAAGCACUGUCAUAUUUUGAGCCUUAAAGGAGAGCUGUAGGUAAAGCCAGACUGAAAUUUUACACCGAAUCCUAACUGAAGAAAGAAAAUCUCUCCCUAAAGAUGCUGUAGUUCCCUUGCGUGCUUCAGAGGGCAAACCCAGUAUUUUGGAAACAUCCAAAAACCCAAAGACUUCUAUUUGCUCGAGGAUUCUCCUUCAUUCCUUCCUGGGGUGAAACAAACAGAUAAUCCUCAUUGUUAGAGAAACAUUACACUUCACACAGGUUUAUCAGUACAUAAACACAAUUCAUUAAAAAAUAUAUAUAUAAGGAUGAGGCUUAAUUUAAAUCUACUACAGUUAAUGAAAGCCCUCGGUAGCCCGAGAUCUAGCUUCUCAUAACCCAGAAGAGAGGAAACAUUAGCAUCGUCACACUUCUGCCCUUAGCAAUGACCCCUUUGGCACAAGGUUGAAACGCAGAGGGAGGGCAAGCUGCACUGCAGCAACGCAGGGUACAGAUUGCUGGUGCAGAUGCAGGACAACCAAUGCACACCGCCUUCUGUAUAAACCUCACUACAUUUUGUGUACAGAAAAUCGUUACUGUGGAAAUACAUUCUUCUUUUUUUUUUUUUUUUUUUUUUUUUUCCCACGCUGCAACAGAAGUUUUCCAAUACCUCUCUUCUUUUCUUCUGUCAUUCAGUUCCGUUCCGGGUGAAGUUGUCCCCGUCUCUGUAAAAUGUUAUGAGUUUAGCAGUCCUCAAUACUGGGAAGUACUGCACAGGUAUGGAGGAAGGGGAAAAUGUGGUCAUGUGUGGAUGGGGUGGUUUCUUCCUGACAGCAUUAAGAACCCGGUAGUUCUUGCAAGUGAAAGGCUCCAUCUUCCUGGCCAUACAUAAAUAGGUCUCCAGCUAGACUUUGCGUGACUGUGACGUACAGGAUGAGACCCUGCGUUAGCAAAAGUAACCAAGCGAUGAGGUCAGUACAGGACAAUGGGAAAAACUGAACUCCGUUACGACCGACCGUCACAUUGAUAAAUGCAGCUUCGUUGUUUUUUAUAAACAAAAUUAAACUUAAUUUGCUUCACAGAGGCUAAGGUGCCGUUAAUUCAAAACCCACCAAAUUACUCGCUGGACACAGUUAAUAGUCAGCAGACCACAUAGACCAGGCUUUGAAAGCAUUUAAUAUUCACUGAAGUGCUGCUUGUAUCCAAUUAUAACUCACUACUUGCCAUCUUAAUAAUUUAAAUCUGUCCACUCUUUAGAGAGGGGGAAAAAAAGCACUAAUCAAAGACAUGAAUGCACCUUUUGCUUUUGACAGCAUUAAAUUAAAACUAAAUGGUAGAUCUUGAAUGAGUUACUCUGCAAGAAUAAAGGCAUUAAUGAGGUAAUUUCAUUAUAGAGGCUCAUCCAAGCCUAUGUGAAAACAAGGGAAGUAAAUGGAGAGGAAAGCCACCGAGGAAAUUAGGGUUCCUUCCACACUAAUUAAUGUUUUGGGGCAUUUAGUAUAGGCACCAAAUUAACUGCUCCAAAGAACUCCAUUGAAGAAAAAAAAUACAUUGUUGCCCUGCCAUGUAAUUA